UUUAUCUAAUUGCUGUUACUUCAGAUAUUUAUCCGUAUGGUAGAUCUCUCGAUCCCUUUACUUUUCCUGCAUGUUACCGAUUUCUUAGGUUUCGUAUAGCCUCUCGUGGAAUGUCAUUUAAGGUAGCGCGAUUCCUUCAUCUAGGACUGCCUUUUUGCAUGAGCAUCCCUAAACACCCCAAACUCAUUGAUUUUUCUUCUCCUAAGAACA
rnacentral:lncRNA from 1 species